rnacentral:rRNA from 1 species
GCAAGUUGGAACUCAAAGGAAUUGACGGGGAUUUAACACUAGUGGUGGAGCAUGUGGUUUAAUGCGAUAAUCCGCGCAAAACCUUACCAAUUCUUGACAUACUUAAAUAGUUAACUUAGUUAAAGCAAGUACUUAAAUUUAAUUAUUUUACAGGUGUUGCACGACUGUCGUCAGCUCGUGUCGUGAGAUGUUUGGUUAAUUCCUAAAACGAGCGCAACUCUUGCUUUUAAAUUUUAACGUAUUAAAAGAUUUUUUCUUUUAAAAUGCUUUAAAGGUACGGUCAACGAUAAGUUGGAGGAAGGUAAGAAUUAAGUCAAGUCAAUGUGACCCUAAUGAAUUGGGCUACUCCAUGUGCUACAAUGAAAAUUACAAAAAGUGACAAAAAAGAAAUUUUAAGUUAAUCAACAAAAAUUUUCCCAGUUCGGAUUGUAGACUGCAACUCGUCUACAUGAAGUUGGAAUCACUAGUAAUCGCAAAUCAGCACGUUGCGGUGAACACGUAACUUAAUCCU